AGAACCUGGGCAUCCUGACCGGGCCGCAGCUCUUCUCCCUCAACAAGGAGGAGCUGAAGAAAGUGUGCGGCGAGGAGGGCGUCCGCGUGUACAGCCAGCUCACCGUGCAGAAGGCCUUCCUGGAGGGUGGGCUGGAGCUCCAGGCUGGCCGGGCUGAACCUCACACACACGCAGAGUUCUGCUCCCUGAGGGGGGCCCGGGAGGGGCUCCAGCAGGAGGCCAUGGGUGCCAUUCGGGGGAAAGUGGGGGAACGACACACACUUCACCUGCAAGGGCCGACAACGCAGGGGACACCGUGCCGGCUUCAGACACUCCCAGCGCCCACCCUUACAGGCCCAGGACUGGAGCUUUCUCCAGCCAAGUUUCAGGCCAAUGAUCCCCGCAUGGUGUUGGGGGUGCUGGUGUGUCUUGGUGCCUGGACUUGAGUCUCACCCUACAGAUGAGAGGUGGCUGAGGCACCAGGGCUAAGCAAUUAAACCAGUUAAGUCUCC
rnacentral:sRNA from 1 species